UACGUAGGGUGCGAGCGUUAAUCGGAAUUACUGGGCGUAAAGCGUGCGCAGGCGGUUUUGUAAGCCAGAUGUGAAAUCCCCGGGCUUAACCUGGGAAUGGCAUUUGGGACUGCAAGGCUUGGAGUGCGGCAGAGGAGACUGGAAUUCCUGGUGUAGCAGUGAAAUGCGUAGAUAUCAGGAGGAAUACCGAUGGCGAAGGCAGGUCUCUGGGCUGACACUGACGCUCAUGCACGAAAGCGUGGGGAGCAAACGAGG
rnacentral:rRNA from 1 species